rnacentral:rRNA from 1 species
AACAAACGCUGGCGGCGUGCCUAAUACAUGCAAGUCGAACGGGGAAAGCUUUCGGGUGAGUACUAGUGGCGCACGGGUGAGUAACGCGUGGAUAAUCUGCCUUAGAGUGGGGGAUAACUAGUCGAAAGAUUAGCUAAUACCGCAUAAGACCACAAGAACUGCGGUUCAAGGGGUCAAAGGUUUUUCGCUCUAAGAUGAGUCCGCGUAAGAUUAGCUAGUUGGUGAGGUAAUGGCUCACCAAGGCGACGAUCUUUAACUGGUCUGAGAGGAUGAUCAGUCACACUGGAACUGAGACACGGUCCAGACUCCUACGGGAGGCAGCAGUAAGGAAUAUUGCACAAUGGAGGAAACUCUGAUGCAGCGACGCCGCGUGAGUGAUGAAGGCCUUCGGGUCGUAAAGCUCUGUCGCAAGGGAAUAACACAAUGAAUGUACCUUGCAAGAAAGGAUCGGCUAACUUCGUGCCAGCAGCCGCAGUAAAAC